CCUACGGGAGGCAGCAGUCGGGAAUUUUGCGCAAUGGGGGAAACCCUGACGCAGCAAUACCGCGUGUGGGAUGAAGGCCUUCGGGUCGUAAACCACUUUUCUCGGGGACGAUAAUGACGGUACCCGAGGAAUAAGCCACGGCUAACUACGUGCCAGCAGCCGCGGUAAUACGUAGGUGGCAAGCGUUGUCCGGAUUUACUGGGCGUAAAGCGCGCGCAGGCGGUGAAUGAAGUCGAAAGUGAAAGCCCCGGGCUCAACUCGGGAACAGCUUUCGAAACCAGUUCACUUGAAGAUGGAAGAGGGAAGUGGAAUUCCGAGUGUAGCGGUGGAGUGCGCAGAUAUUCGGAGGAACACCAGAGGCGAAGGCGACUUCCUGGUCCAAUCUUGACGCUGAGGCGCGAAAGCUAGGGGAGCAAACAGGAUUAGAUAUCCUGGUAGUCCUAGCUGUAAACGAUGGAUACUAGGUGUUGGAGGUUUUAACCCCUCCGGUGCCGCAGCUAACGCAUUAAGUGCCCCGCCUGGGGAGUACGGCCGCAAGGCUAAAACUCAAAGGAAUUGACGG
rnacentral:rRNA from 1 species